CCUACGGGAGGCAGCAGUGAGGAAUAUUAGUCAAUGGGCGUAAGCCUGAACCAGCCAAGUCGCGUGAGGGAUGAAGGUUCUAUGGAUCGUAAACCUCUUUUAUAAGGGAAUAAAGUGUGGGACGUGUCCUGUUUUGUAUGUAUCUUAUGAAUAAGGAUCGGCUAACUCCGUGCCAGCAGCCGCGGUAAUACGGAGGAUCCGAGCGUUAUCCGGAUUUAUUGGGUUUAAAGGGUGCGUAGGCGGCCUUUUAAGUCAGCGGUGAAAGUCUGUGGCUCAACCAUAGAAUUGCCGUUGAAACUGGGAGGCUUGAGUAUGUUUGAGGCAGGCGGAAUGCGUGGUGUAGCGGUGAAAUGUUUAGAUAUCACGCAGAACCCCGAUUGCGAAGGCAGCCUGCCAAGCCAUGACUGACGCUGAUGCACGAAAGCGUGGGGAUCAAACAGGAUUAGAUACCCGAGUAGUC
rnacentral:rRNA from 1 species